AUGCCCGAGACCGCGAGCACCGGCGCAGGGGAACCCGGAGCCACCGCCAGCCGGCAGAGACCAGGCAGGGAACCGCAGAGCUCAGGCGCCCUCCCCCUCGCUCCCGCCGCCCCACCUCCGUGCCUCCCUCCCGCCUGCCCUGCCAGCCCCCUCCCUGUGCUCUCCCUUCCAGGCUGAGGCUGCCGCAGGGCCACCUAAAGCAUUUGCCUGGGGAAGCCACUAGGACCCCCCGCGUGCAUCUUCCUCCUCGCCCUCGGCAGGAGCCGGCAGCUUAGAAGGAGACCUCUCAGUCGGAGGCGAGCACCAGGAGUGGAAAGUACCAAAGCCUGAUGACUGGGGAGGAUAGUCCUCAGGAGAUGACCCAAGCCCUGAAAUUUGGGACCAGAGGUUUACUCUUCAUCCAUUUUCAAAUUUUGGGAGCAUUGUGUAUAAGAUAAUAUAAUCUUCAAUUGAAAAGAAAAAAGAAGAGGAAAAGGAGCUUCCUUGGGAGGUGGACUGUGGCAAUCUGGGAGGAAACUGAUUCUUCAUAACACUUGCAGCAGCCUCCCUGCCAAGGCCACUCCUGCUGUAUCAUCCACACGUCACUGAUAUUUAGAAAGUUUUUGAAAAUAUAAUCACAGUAUUUGACAUGCCUGUAAAACGCUCAGAAACAAUGCUGGUUGCUACUCCCAGCUCACAAACCAACGUGGAUCAUUGGAUGGGGAGGUGUGCACCUACCUUUCCAGCACCCAGGAGCCUGUCCGGAUCACCAAGUCUUCUGAGACCAGCUUGGUCCAUGUGAAUGCUAAGGCAAAUGCUAACUCUUCCGCUAUCAAGAGAAUGGAAUGAUUUCAUUUGUAGUAACAUGGUUGGGAGUAGGACUCAAAUUAAAAGACAUGAGUGGAGUAGGCACAGAAAGGCAGAAAGACAAGCACCAUACUGUCUUACUCAACCCUAAAGAAGACCUCCUCAGAGUGAGGAUGGGAUAGUGAUUAUCAGUGGUAAGAGGGACAGAUGGGACAGGAGGAUGGGUAAAGGUUAACUAACAGAUGCUAAAUCAUAGUUAUAUAGGAACAAGAAGUCCAUACUGCCUAGUGCAUGGUAAGAAGACUAUAUAACAAUUAUAUGCUAUAUACAUUUUAAAAGUUACAAUAGAAUAUUUUAAUGUUUGGAAUGGUAGACAGUUCUGGAGAUGUAUACAUAUAACCUGGCAAACAUCAUACUAACCUAUCACACACAUUAGUACCUCAUUAUCAUGUACAAUUUUAAUGUUCUUACUUAUCAAUUAAAGAUAAGCAAUUCAAUUAAUAAAAAUAAAAGUUAUGCCUGCUU
rnacentral:lncRNA from 1 species